rnacentral:rRNA from 1 species
GGUGAGUAACGCGUAUGCAACCUACCUAUUACAGGGAGAUAGCCCGGAGAAAUCUGGAUUAAUACCCCAUAAUAUUUUUGAUUCGCAUGGAUUAGAGAUUAAAGUUUCGAUGGUAAUAGAUGGGCAUGCGUGCCAUUAGUUAGUUGGUAAGGUAACGGCUUACCAAGACAUCGAUGGCUAGGGGUUCUUAAAGGAUGAUCCCCCACACUGGUACUGAGACACGGACCAGACUCC